GACGAACCGUACAAACGUUACUCGGAAUUACUGGGCUUAAAGGGUGCGUAGGCUGCGCGGAAAGUUGGGUGUGAAAGCCCUCGGCUCAACCGAGGAAUUGCAUUCAAAACUACCGUGCUCGAGGGAGACAGAGGUAAGCGGAACUCAAGGUGGAGCGGUGAAAUGCGUUGAUAUCUUGAGGAACACCGGUGGCGAAGGCGGCUUACUGGGUCUCUUCUGACGCUGAGGCACGAAAGCUAAGGUAGCAAACGGG
rnacentral:rRNA from 1 species